rnacentral:rRNA from 1 species
GACGAACGCUGGCGGCGUGCUUAACACAUGCAAGUCGAACGGAAAGGCCCUGCUUUUGUGGGGUGCUCGAGUGGCGAACGGGUGAGUAACACGUGAGUAACCUGCCCUUGACUUUGGGAUAACUUCAGGAAACUGGGGCUAAUACCGGAUAGGAGCUCCUGCUGCAUGGUGGGGGUUGGAAAGUUUCGGCGGUUGGGGAUGGACUCGCGGCUUAUCAGCUUGUUGGUGGGGUAGUGGCUUACCAAGGCUUUGACGGGUAGCCGGCCUGAGAGGGUGACCGGCCACAUUGGGACUGAGAUACGGCCCAGGCUGCUACGGGAGGCAGCAGUGGGGAAUAUUGCACAAUGGGCGGAAGCCUGAUGCAGCAACGCCGCGUGCGGGAUGACGGCCUUCGGGGUGUAAACCGCUUUCGCCUGUGACGAAGCGUGAGUGACGGUAAUGGGUAAAGAAGCACCGGCUAACUACGUG